rnacentral:rRNA from 1 species
CUACGGGCGGCUGCAGUUAAGAAUCUUCCGCAAUGGACGAAAGUCUGACGGAGCGACGCCGCGUGGGUGAAGAAGGCCGAGAGGUUGUAAAGCCCUUUUCUGCUUGAGGAAUAAGCCUGGUAGGGAAUGACCGGGUGAUGACGGUAGGGCAGGAAUAAGCCCCGGCUAAUUACGUGCCAGCAGCCGCGGUAACACGUAUGGGGCGAGCGUUGUUCGGAAUCAUUGGGCGUAAAGGGCGUGUAGGCGGAAAUGCAAGUCUGGUGUGAAAGACCGCAGCUCAACUGCGGGGACGCGCUGGAAACUGCAUAUCUUGAGUUCCGGAGGGGGAGUUGGAAUUCCUGGUGUAGGGGUGAAAUCUGUUGAUAUCAGGAAGAGCAUCGGUGGCGAAGGCGAACUCCUGGACGAGAACUGACGCUGAGGCGCGAAAGCGUGGGGAGCGAACAGGAUUAGAUACCCGCGUAGUC